UGCUCAAUGAGUAUUAAAUAGCCGCAGUAUAUUAACUGUGCAAGGUAGCAUAAUAAUUAGUUUCUUAAUUAGAAGCUGGAAUGAAUGAUUGGACAAGAAAAUAUCUGUCUCUUUUAAAAUUUAAUUUGAAUUUUAUUUUUAAGUUAAAAAGCUUAAAUUUUUAUAAAAGACGAGAAGACCCUAUAGAGUUUUAUAUAAUUAGUUUAUUUGUUAUUAGAAUUUUAUUUAAAUUGAUUGUAUUUAGUUGGGGUGACUUGAAGAUAUAAAAAAUUCUUUAAUUAAAUAAUUAUUGAUAAAUAAAUUUAAAAUCUAUUUUAAUAAAAAUAAUAUAAAUUACCUUGGGGAUAACAGCGUA
rnacentral:rRNA from 1 species